UGGGGGAUUUUGCACAAUGGGCGCAAGCCUGAUGCAGCGACGCCGCGUGAGGGAUGAAGGCCUUCGGGUUGAAAACCUCUUUCGCUGGGUUGAAAGGCCAUGCUUUGGGUGUGGUUGAUUUGAACUGGUAAAGAAGUACCGGCUAACUACGUGCCAGCAGCCGCGGUAAUACGUAGGGUACUAGCGUUGUCCGGAUUUAUUGGGCGUAAAGGGCUUGUAGGUGGUUUGUCGCGUCUGUCGUGAAAUCCUGUGGCUUAACCAUGGGCUUGCGGUGGGUACGGGCAGGCUUGAGUGCGGUAGGGGAGACUGGAAUUCCUGGUGUAGCGGUGGAAUGCGCAGAUAUCAGGAGGAACACCGGUGGCGAAGGCGGGUCUCUGGGCCGUUACUGACACUGAGGAGCGAAAGCGUGGGGAGCGAACAGG
rnacentral:rRNA from 1 species